GGGCUCAAUGUUGGGGAGUGGGUCAUUUGGAGAAGUCUAUAAAGUAAUGGCUGAUCCUCAUGGGUUCCUUUUUGCUGCAAAGAAAGUUCCACUUACUGAUGCACAAAAAGUCAGCUCAAUUGAGCGUGAGAUUGAUUUAUUAUGUCACCUACGUCAUGAAAAUAUAGUUGAAUAUUUUGGCACAAAAAGGGACGAAACAGAUCUCUAUGUGUUUCUUGAGUUUGUAAAUGGGGGCUCCAUUGAGAAAGUUUAUCGAGAGUUUCCCCUUAAUGAUUCCCAAGUGUCCUACUACACCAAAGAGAUACUAAAAGGUUUGGAGUAUCUCCAUGAGCAAGAUGUUGUGCAUGGGGACAUUAAAUGUGCAAACUUACUGUUGAAUGAGAAUGGAGUCGUGAAAAUUGCUGAUUUUGGAUUAGCAAAGGUAACUGACUUGAAGACUCUUCGCAAGUCAGGUAGAGGGACUCCAGCCUGGUGCGCUCCUGAGGUCAUUAAUUUGAAGAGACAAGGAUGGAAUGGAUUCCAAGCUGAUAUAUGGAGUCUUGGCUGCACUGUCUUGGAGAUGUUAACUAAAAACCACCCGUACUAUGGUUUAGAACCUUGGACGAUAUGGUAUCAGAUUGGAGAAGGUAUACUGCCUAAAAUUCCUCAGACUCUCUCUGAGGAUUCGCAGAAAUUUAUUCUGAAAUGCCUGCAAGUUAAUCCAGAGAAACGUCCGACUGCCACCGAGCUUUUAAAGCAUAGAUUUGUUAAUAGGUCAUAGCAAGCAGCAGAACAUACCAAACUUCGUGUUAGUUUCAGCUUAAAUUGUGGAAUUUACUCAAUGUUUAACAGCAGUUUUUUCUUUAGUGCUAAAGGUUUGCUUCAGAUUUAUUUUUAGAUUGCUCAUCCUUUAUUAUAGAAUAUUAUUAUUUGUCAUUAUCAUUGAUAAAAUAUCUGUUGUUUUUAGGAUCAUUAACAUUGCUAAAAUUAGAAUAUAUAAUUGUUAACCAGAAUAUUUUGAUGCAAACAGAUAAAUACUUGUUUGGUUAUUUUACAGCUAUGUCAAUUGAAGCAACUAAGUCUGUACAGUCUACAUCAUUUGAUAGCUCCAGUCCAACAGCAUCAUUUGGAAGUUACGAAACAGCCACACCAAUAGAGAGUUUUGAACCUCUUAUAAUGUUUAAAAAACAGCAAUUCACAUGUGUAGAAAUAGACUGUGAGUGAUUCAGCACCAGAUGAGGAAUUGAUAAACAACUCAACAGAGGAGGAUAUNNNNNNNNNNNNNNNNNUCUACUGAGUUGGGAUGAGUUUGGAAGUUUUAGCACUCAUGUAGAAAGCAUGUUGAAUACUUGGCAGGUCAAAAUACUGGGUCGUGAUAUUCAGAAUUGGCAAAGGGGCUCAAUGUUGGGGAGUGGGUCAUUUGGAGAAGUCUAUAAAGGAAUGGAUGAUCCUCAUGGGUUCUUUUUUGCUGCAAAGAAAGUUCCACUUACUGAUGCACAAAAAGUCAGCUCAAUUGAGCGUGAGAUUGAUUUAUUAUGUCACCUACGUCAUGAAAAUAUAGUUGAAUAUUUUGGCACAAAAAGGGACGAAACGGAUCUCUAUGUUUUUCUUGAGUUUGUAAAUGGGGGCUCCAUUGAUAAAGUUUAUCGAGAGUUUCCCCUUAAUGAUUCCCAAGUGUCCUACUACACCAAAGAAAUACUGAAAGGUUUGGAGUAUCUCCAUGGAGAAGGUUUUGUGCAUGGGGACAUUAAAUG
rnacentral:lncRNA from 1 species